rnacentral:rRNA from 1 species
AGCGAACGCUGGCGGCAGGCCUACACCUGCAAGUCGAACGAACCUUUCGGGGUUUGUGGCGGGCGGGUGAGUAACCCGUGGGAACGGUCCUUUAGGUUUGGAAUAACCUCGGGAAACUUUUUUUAAAUCCCAAUUGUCCUUUCGGGGGAAAAUUAAUCGCCCGUAGAGCGGCCCCCGUCUGAUUAGCUAGUUGGUUGAGGUAAUGGCUCACCAAGGGGACGAUCAGUAGCUGGUCUGAGAGGGUGAUCAGCCACAUUGGGACUGAGACACGGCCCAAACUCCUACGGGAGGCAGCAGUGGGGAAUCUUGCGCAAUGGGCGAAAGCCUGACGCAGCCAUGCCGCGUGAAUGAUGAAGGUCUUAGGAUUGUAAAAUUCUUUCACCGGGGACGAUAAUGACGGUACCCGGAGAAGAAGCCCCGGCUAGCUUCGUG